AACGCACAUUGCGCCCAUUGGCAUUCCGAUGGGCAUGCCUGUUCGAGCGUCAUUAUCCCCCCUCAAACCUCGCGUUUGGUGUUGGGCCGCGUUGGCUCCCCCGGGACCAACUGGUCUCAAAGACAAUGACGGCGUCCGUGGGACCCUCGGUGCAACGAGCUUUUUCGAAGCACGCGUCGAGUCGAAAGGACCCUCCGGGCCGGUCGGACCUUUUUUUUUCAGGUUGACCUCGAAUCAGGUAGGAAUACCCGCUGAACUUAA
rnacentral:misc_RNA from 1 species